rnacentral:rRNA from 1 species
AGUGAACGCUGGCGGUAGGCCUAACACAUGCAAGUCGAACGGCAGCACAGUAAGAGCUUGCUCUUACGGGUGGCGAGUGGCGGACGGGUGAGGAAUACAUCGGAAUCUACUUUUUCGGGGGGGAUAACGUAGGGAAACUUACGCUAAUACCGCAUACGACCUACGGGUGAAAGCAGGGGAUCUUCGGACCUUGCGCGAAUGAAUGAGCCGAUGUCGGAUUAGCUAGUUGGCGGGGUAAAGGCCCACCAAGGCGACGAUCCGUAGCCGGUCUGAGAGGAUGAUCGGCCACACUGGAACUGGGACACGGUCCAGACUCCUACGGGAGGCAGCAGUGGGGAAUAUUGGACAAUGGGCGCAAGCCUGAUCCAGCCAUCCCGCGUGGGUGAAGAAGGCCUUCGGGUUGUAAAGCCCUUUUGUUGGGAAAGAAAAGCAGCAGGUUGAUACCCCGCUGUUCUGACGGUACCCAAUGAAUAAGCACCGGCUAACUUCGUG